rnacentral:lncRNA from 1 species
GUCAUUUGUUCUUCCGCCAGCGCCCAUCGUGAAGACCACAGUUUCCUGUCGCGUGGAUGUGUUUCCUCUCUGGCCAUUGCCAUCCGCCCAAAUCUACAGACAUCCCGCAUGUUCCCGGGCUCGUCUCCCCAAUACAGGGCACCAAGGCUGUAGACUGCGCAGCCCUCCUGGAGACAGAUGGAAGCUCCUUGGGUCGACAGAUUACAGCUUCUGGAACCCCCUACUCCCUUCAACUCCGAGAUGGACACCCACUGUCCAGGGAGAGGAUGCCUGGAAAUAACAGCUGGGAUCUACAGUGGCCAAAGAGUUGUCUCCGUCUUGCUACAUCGACAAACUGGUGCUCCUGAGUGAGGAUUGUGCCCUGGGAUGGGGGAUUCAGUUUCUUCAUUUAUAGUUGGAAGUGGGUGAAGCCACUUCGGAAGCGUUUUCCUCUCCACUCUGACAACAGGCAAGAGUGAGGGUCCAACAAUACAGAGGAAGUAACGUGUCGCUGCUACUCUUCCAUGCCCAGUGCCAGGAGCGACGGUACACUCCAGAGUGCUGUGCCCUGAUGGGCCUUUGAGUGGCCAGUGCAGUGGAUCAUCAGCCCUGUCUCCCAAGAGCUCCAGUCCCUUCUCCGGAGAGGAAGUGGGUCCACUGGCAGCUCAGGAGGCCAUAGCAGCCUUACGGAAGUGUGGGUGGCGCUUUCUGGAAGCUGCACAAGUCAGUGCUGGGUCUUCGCAACUUGGUGUUCUGUUUCCAGAAACUUGGGGUGUUUGCAUGUGCUAGGUCAGCACAGAUUUCCAAAGGAUCUCUAGGAUUGUCACGUGUGCUCAACAGUCCUCCUCGGCUUUCCAGAAGAGGCUGGAACAGGGCCCUUGAAGAUGUUUGUGGACAUCAGAGGGCCAAAGACGACACAAAGUGAAACUGGAGACACCGCCCCCCCUUGGCAUCAUGAAACUGCCGAUGUUACUGGCUCAUGCAUGGGAGACACCAGCAUACAAAGUCUUGACACCAACACCUCAGAGGGCUGUGUUCUGUCCCCGUGACCAUCAUCUAGUGCCUGGAAAGACUAGUGACAAGAACUUGUUGCCAACUUCCUAUUACCUCCCUAACAGUUGUGCAAUAAACCCCAUAGGUUAAUUCAG